UACGUAGGUGGCAAGCGUUGUCCGGAAUUAUUGGGCGUAAAGCGCGCGCAGGCGGUUCCUUAAGUCUGAUGUGAAAGCCCACGGCUCAACCGUGGAGGGUCAUUGGAAACUGGGGGACUUGAGUGCAGAAGAGGAGAGCGGAAUUCCACGUGUAGCGGUGAAAUGCGUAGAGAUGUGGAGGAACACCAGUGGCGAAGGCGGCUCUCUGGUCUGUAACUGACGCUGAGGCGCGAAAGCGUGGGGAGCAAACAGGAUUAGAUACCCCGGGUAGUCC
rnacentral:rRNA from 1 species